UACGGAGGGUGCUAGCGUUGUUCGGAAUUACUGGGCGUAAAGCGCGCGUAGGCGGCUUUGUAAGUUAGAGGUGAAAGCCCGGGGCUCAACUCCGGAAUUGCCUUUAAGACUGCAUCGCUAGAAUCGUGGAGAGGUGAGUGGAAUUCCGAGUGUAGAGGUGAAAUUCGUAGAUAUUCGGAAGAACACCAGUGGCGAAGGCGACUCACUGGACACGUAUUGACGCUGAGGUACGAAAGCGUGGGGAGCAAACAGG
rnacentral:rRNA from 1 species